rnacentral:rRNA from 1 species
ACGGGUAACGGGGAAUUAGGGUUCGAUUCCGGAGAGGGAGCCUGAGAAACGGCUACCACAUCUAAGGAAGGCAGCAGGCGCGCAAAUUACCCAAUCCUAAUACAGGGAGGUAGUGACAAGAAAUAACAAUACAGGACUUUAACAGUUUUGUAAUUGGAAUGAGUUGAGUAUAAACCCCUUUACAAGUAUCAAUUGGAGGGCAAGUCUGGUGCCAGCAGCCGCGGUAAUUCCAGCUCCAAUAGCGUAUAUUAAAGUUGUUGCAGUUAAAAAGCUCGUAGUUGGAUUUCUGUUAAUAAUUUAUAUAUAAUAUUUAACAUAUUUAUAUAAUAUUAACAUAAUUCAUAUUACUAUUUAUAGUAUAUGAAACUUUACUUUGAGAAAAUUAGAGUGCUUAAAGCAGGCUUUUGCCUUGAAUACUAGAGCAUGGAAUAAUAUUAAAGAUUUUUAUCUUUCUUAUUGGUUCUAAGAUAGAAAUAAUGAUUAAUAGGGACAGUUGGGGGCAUUUGUAUUUAACAGUUAGAGGUGAAAUUCUUAGAUUUGUUAAAGACAAACUAAUGCGAAAGCAUUUGCCAAGGAUGUUUUCAUUAAUCAAGAACGAAAGUUAGGGGAUCGAAGACGAUCAGAUACCGUCGUAGUCUUAACCAUAAACUAUGCCAACUAGAGAUUGGAGGUUGU